ensembl:lncRNA
GAGGGUUUAUAGGGUCCUUAUGGGACUCUAUGGGGUCUUUAUGGGGUCCUAUAGGCUUCAAUGGGGUCCUAUGGGGCUCUAUGGGGUCUUAUGGGGUCCUUAUGGGGUCCUAUGGGGGCUUAAAGGGGUUCUAUGGGGUCCUACGGGGUCCUUAUGGGGUCCUAUGGGGUUCUAUGGGGUCCUUAUGGGGUCUGAGUGGGUUUAUGGGGUCCUAUGGGGUCCCUAUGGGGUUCUAUGGGGGCUUAAAGGAGUCUUAUGGGGUUCUAUGGGGUCCCUAUGGGGUCCUUGAAGGUUUAUAGGGUCCCUAUGGGGUCUUAUGGGGCCCUAUGGGGGCUUAAAGGGGUCCUUAUGGGGCCCUAUGGGGUCUUAUGGGGUCUGAGAGGGUUUAUAGGGUCUUUAUGAGGUCUUAUGGGGUCUGAGAGGGCUUAUAGGGUCCUUAUGGGGUCCUAUGGGGUCUGAGAGGGCUUAUAGGGUCCUUAUGGGGUUCUAUAGGGUCUCUAUGGAGUCUCUAUGGGGUCGGGAGGGUUUGUAGGGUCUCUAUGGGGUCCAUAUAGGGUCCUUAUGGGGCCCUAUGGGGUCUUAUGGGGUCUGAGAGGGCUUAUAGGGUCUUUAUAGGGUCCUAUGGGGCCCUAUGGGGUCUUUAUGGGCUCCUUAUGGGGUCAGUUGUGUUUAUAGGAUCAUUAUGAAGUCCUUAUGGGGUCCUAUGGGGUUUUUAUGGGGUCCUUAUGGGGACAGAGAGUUCUUAUGGGGUUCUUAUGGGGUCAGGGCGGUUUAUAGGGUCCUUAUGGGGUCAGGAAGUCCUUUUAGGGUCCUUAUGGGGUCCUUACGGGAUCCAGAGAGUUUUUAGGGUCCUUAAUGAGUCCCUAUGUGUCCCUCUCAGACCCCAUAAGGACCCCAUAAGGACCCUAUAAACCCUCUCAGAUCCCAUAAGGACCCCAUAGAACCCCAUAGAGACCCUAUAGGACCCCAUAAAGACCCUAUAAGCCCCCUCAGACCCCAUAAGGACCCCAUAAAGACCCUAUAAUCCCUCUCAGACCCCAUAGAGACCCCAAAAGACCCCAUAAAGAUCCUAUAAACCCUCUCAGACCCCAUAAGGACCCCAUAAGACCCUAUAGGACCCCACAGAGAUCCUAUAAACCCUUUUAGACUCCUUAAGGACCCUAUAGGACCCCAUAGAGACCCCAUAGAGACCCUAUAAGCCCUCUUAGACCCCAUAGGACCCCAUAAGGACCCUAUAAGCCCUCUCAGACCCCAUAAGGACCCCAUAAGGACCCCAUAAACUCUCUCAGAUCCCAUAAAGACCCCAUAAGACCCCAUAGAGACUCCAUAAGGACCCCAUAAAACCCCAUAAAGACCCUAUAAGCCCUCUCAGACCCCAUAAGGACCCCAUAAAGCUCCCAUAGGACCCCAUAGAGACCCUAUAAACCCUUUUAGACCCCAUAAGGACCCUAUAGGACCCCAUACAGACUCUAUAAGCCCUCUCAGACCCCAAAAGGACCCCAUAAGACCCCAUAGGACCCCAUAGAGACCCUAUAAACCCUCUCAGACCCCAUAGAGACCCCAUAGAGACCCCAGUGGGACCCUACAACCCCCCCCGACCCCACAGAACCCCAUAGGGACCCCAUAAGAACCCAAUUAGCGCCCCAAUUAAGGCCCCGUUAAGACCCCAAUUAAAACCCCAUUAAGACCCCAAAUUAAAACCCCAUUAAAACCCCAUUGAGGUAGGAAAGGUCCUCCAAGACCAUAGAGUUGGGGGGCUCGGAAAGGUCCCCCAAGACCAUAGAGUUGGGGGGCACGGAAAGGUCCCCCAAGACCAUAGAGUUGGGGGGCACGGAAUGGUCCUCCAAGACCAUAGAGUUGGAGAGGGGUGGGCUCGGAAAGGUCCUCCAAGACCAUAGAGAUGGCCCACCUGGGCUAAUUAACGCCACCUGGAGCUAAUUAACUGCACCUGCUGCUCCCCACUGCCCCCCGUUCGGCCUUCAUUAACACGCGGCUAAUUAACAAAGCUAAUUCAAAAGCAUAGGAGAGUUUUAAGCCCAUUCCACGCCGCUUUUUGGCCUUCAAAGCCAUUCAAACGCGCUCAGCUCCAAUAAGGGCUGCUUAAUUAACCCCGUUUUAAUUAACCCCCCACAUUAGCCCCUAAUUAACAGCAAGAAACCCAACAAAGCGACAAAUCUAUGCUCAAACCGCCUUGCAGCCCGGCAAACAACACGAAACCCGACAAAAGCGGGCUAGCUGAGGGUCAGAAACGCUAAUUAGCCGCCAAUUAAUUGCUAAUUAAGCACCGAAUAACCGCAGUUAAUUACCCGGAUAACGGUCCGUCUCUGAGCCGCUCCAAUGCGCGUUUAAUGGCACCGCCCCGCGCCGCCCCCUUUUAUACCUUCCGCCGGAGCCGGAAGUGACGCCAUCAGCGCUGCGACGCAGCCGGACGUGCCGCUCCAAAAUGGCGGCGCGCAGCGCUGAGAGCUCCGUAACGAAGCGGGACGGCGUGCGGACGAUUCCCGGUGCUCUUUCACCGCCGCGAUCGGUGCCGGAGGGGCGUUUCGCAUCCCGGACAGCACCGAUUUCCCCCUCAGCAGCGGCAGAACGGCGUCUGUGGGCGCUAAAUAAAGCGAAAAGGGCGUUAAUGUGGAACUAUAGGGGCUCUGCGCAUGCGCAGUGCGGCGCCGUCAAGCUUGGCGCAUGCGCAGUGCGGCUGCCGGCUCGGCGCAUGCGCAGUGGGUCGUUGAAGCGGCCGGAGUUUGCGUAAGGGGCCGGCGCGGCUACGCAGUUUGCGUAGCGGGCUUCUGCGCAUGCGCAGUUGGUCCGAAGGGAUAAAACCCCAUAAAGACCCCAUAAAAACCCCAAAAGGCCCCAUAAAAACCCCAAAAGACCCCAUGAAAACCCCAUACAGGUCCUGAUGGGGGGUUUAGGGGGACAAUAUGGGGUCCCCAUGGGGUUAAUGGGGGUUUAUGGGGUCCUUAUGGGGUCCUUAUGGGGUUAAGGGGGGGGUUUUGGGGUCCCUAUGGGGUCAAUUGGGGUUUAUAGGGCCCUUAUGGGGUCCCUAUGGGGUCCUUAUGGGGUUAAUGGGGGUUUAUGGGGUCCCUAUGGGGUCCUUAUGGGGUCCUUAUGGGGUUAAUUGGGUUUUAUGGGGUCCUUAUGGGGUCCUUAUGGGGUCUUUAUGGGGGUCAAUUGGGGUUUAUGGGGUUCUUAUGGGGUCCUUAUGGGGUAAAUUGAGGUUUAUAGGGUCCUUAUGGGGACUUUAUGGGGUUAAUUGGGGUUUAUGGAGUCCUUAUGGGGUCCUUAUGGGGUCAGUUGGGGUUUAUGGAGUCCUUAUGGGGUCAUUAUGGGGUUAAAUGGGGUUUAUGGGGUCCCUAUGGGUUCCUUAUGGGGUUUUUAUGGGGUUAAUGGGGGUUUAUAGGGCCCUUAUGGGGUCAUUAUGGGACCCUUAUGGGGUUAAAGGGGGUUUAUAGGGUCUCUAUGGGGUCCCUUUGGGGUCCUUAUGGGGUUAAAGGGGGUUUAUAGGGUUUCUAUGGGGUCCUUAUGGGGUUAAUUGAGGUUUAUAGGGUCCUUAUGGGGUCAUUAUGGGACCCUUAUGGGGUUAAAGUGGGUUUAUAGGGUCUCUAUGGGGUCCUUAUUGGGUCCUUAUGGGGUCAGUUGGGGUCCUUAUGGGGUUAAAGGGGGUUUAUGGAGUCCUUAUGGGGUCUUUAUGGGGUUAAAUGGGGUUUAUGGGGUCCUUAUGGGGUCCUUAUGGGGUCCUUAUGGGGUUAAUGGGGGUUUAUAGGGUCUCUAUGGGGUCCUUAUGGGGUCCUUAUGGGAUCUGGGGGCGUUUAUAGGGUCUCUAUGGGGUCCUUAUGGGGUCCUUAUGGGGUUAAUGGGGGUUUAUAGGGUUUCUAUGGGGUCCUUAUGGGGCCCUUAUGGGGUAAAAUGGGGUUUAUGGGGUCCUUAUGGGGUUAAUUGGGGUUUAUGGGGUCUCUAUGGGGUCCUUAUGGGGUCCUUAUGGGGUUAAUUGGGGUUUAUAGGGUCUCUAUGGGGCCCUUAUGGGGUCUUUAUAGGGUUAAAGGGGGUUUAUAGGGUCCUUAUGGGGUCCUUAUGGGGUCCUUAUGGGGUUAAUUGGGGUUUAUAGGGUCCUUAUGGGGUUCUUAUGGGGUUAAAGGGGAUUUAUACGGUCCUUUUGGGGUCCUUAUGGGGUCCUUAUGGGGUCCUUAUGGGGUUGAAGGGGGUUUAUAGGGUUUCUAUGGGGUCCUUAUGGGGUUAAUUGGGGUUUAUGGGGUCGUUAUGGGGUCCUUAUGGGGUCUUUAUGGGGUUAAUUGGGGUUUAUGGGGUCCUUAUGGGGUCCUUAUGGGGUUAAUUGAGGUUUAUAGGGUCCUUAUGGUGUCUUUAUGGGUUUAAUUGGGGUUAAUGGGGUUCUUAUGGGGUCCCUAUGGGGUCCUUAUGGGGUUAAAGGGGGCUUAUGGUGUCUCUAUGGGGUCCUUAUGGGGUUAAUUGGGUUUUAUGGGGUCCUUAUGGGGUCCUUAUGAGGUCUUUAUGGGGUCAAUUGGUGUUUAUGGGGUCCUUAUGGGGUCCUUAUGGGGCUAAUUGGGGUUUACGGGGACUUUAUGGGGUCCUUAUGGGGUCAAUUGGCUUUUAUAGGGUCCCUAUGGGGUCCUUAUGGCUGCAAUACCCCUCCCGUCCACAAGGCGGCGCUACUGAGCGCAGACUCACCUUUGCGCAUGCGCAUCAGCCACCAUCCGGGUCCUUUCCUCUGCGUGCUGCGCAUGCGCGUCUGCUGUAGAGAGCGCAUGCGCUGUAGCUGCCAUUUGCAGCGCAUGCGCAGUACGC